CUUUCUUUCUUUCUUUCUUUCUUUCUUUCUUUCUUUCUUUCUUUCUUUCUUUCUUUCUUUCUUUUUUUUUCCUAACUGAUCUCACCUUAUGAUUGGCAGAAUUAUGUUAAAUGUAUCCAAGAAAAUAACUUCCAAAAUAUCGACAAGUUCCAUCAGGGAACCAUACCAUCAGGUGGGUAUACACGCUGCUGCACAUCAGGCAGGUUGAUGAACUGCUGGUUUGGUAGCUAAAAGUGGUCCUCUGUGCACCCACUGAGAUUACCUCCUCUAUUCCCCAUGGAGGAAUUGGGGAUCUCAGAGGACCUCACCAAAACAGCGCCAACUUAAGCUGGUAAUUCAAGGAAGUAGCUACUGAACUGUUUUGAAUAUUUCAGUAUCAUUCUACCUAUAUUCAAAGACUUGGAUAGUCUGAUUCAGACAAGGAAAAGAGGAUUAUAGUGCUUUUCUAUUUCAUAUGCCUCCUCCUCCCUUGUAUAAUUAAAGCAAUGGGAGUAAACUUCUUCAUAUGGCAACAGAAGAUCCAACAAAUAAGUAGGUUUUGGGUAGACUUGAACACUUACUGAAUGCAGGGUUUGCUGUGAACAAUAAUUUAUAUAGUUGUCCAUAUUUAACUGCACACCUGUUUUUUAUCUAAUAAAACUGCAUUUCCUCACCACUAACUUCCUACCAGUCCAAGUUAUCUGUCUGGAAUAUGCCAGUUUUCUAGAGCCUAUUUCUCUAGCUUUCUGACAUAAAAAGUCGUAUUUCAAUCCUCUUAUGUGAAUCUCACUCCGGUUACUCUUUUAUUUUGCUAACAGCACCAGAAAUUUCCCGCUUCCGUGUAGCGAUGAAUUAUAUCUUGCCUGACCUCUAGUGGCUAUGAUCGUGAAUUGAGCGUCCUCCUCUCUACAGAAAGACUAAAAUUAGGUUCGGCAAUCAUGAAAAGAAAUACCGCUGAUUUAAGACUACCACAUGCUGAAGGUAAAGAGGAUGCAGUACAAAGAGAAGCCAGAGGACCAGCUACCACAGAGGGCUCGCACUACAGAUGCCAAAGUCUUGCAGGGCCAGUCCUAGAAUGUAAAAGGGCAAUCCAGCUGAAGAGUGAUCUUACCAUGGGACUGCUCCUCACUGUGACUGGUGAGGAUUUACCAUUGACUCCAUCAGUGUGCUGUGUGACCAGGCCCACACAGGCUCGCGUAUCGAUGGUAGCCUUUCCUGCAGCAUAGGAUUAAACAGCUCAAGAAGACUCCACAUGCAGGGUAUGACUCUUGUUAUGUCUUGCUGUAUUCAGACUCUCGUGCUUGUCAACUUACUUGUAACGGAGCACUCUAAGUGCUGUUACUCUCUUCUUCAUCUUACUCCCUGUCAAGAGAUUAAGGGCUGGGAAAAGUGAGUUAAUUAUCUGGGGAAACAAUCCAAAACACAAUGCUUUCAGGCACUUUCUGUACUUUUGUUUCAGCCAAAAGUGCACACUGCUCCUGCUUCCUCUUAACAAAGGACUGUCCUGUGUUUUUACUAUAGCAAAUGACGUUAUCUAAC
rnacentral:lncRNA from 1 species